rnacentral:lncRNA from 1 species
UUAUAAGCUCCUUUUGAAGCUCUCCACCUUGCUUGGUUCUUCUAUGUGAGGUUGCACCAAAACCAGUAGUCAAACCAUAACUGUCUGUGCCCUUGCUCAUGCUGUCCAUGAUCCAGUCAGUGCUGGCUUUGACACCAGCUCGAGCCUCCUCUGACAGCUCCACCAUGACACCGACGUGACCGCUAGCAAUUGCGGUUACCUGGCCUAUGGUCAGGGUCUCACCUCCUAACUUGACCACAGGCUUCCUGUACUCCUCGAUCAUGCGCUUGACCUCAUCUAGGUGGCUUCCUUUUAGUGACUCUGCCGCCAUGCCCCAGUUCAAAGGGUCAUCAGUGUUAAAUCCUGGUGAACCAUUGCCAAUGCGUGAAUCUUGACAAAAUUCCAUUUUUUCUUGUAAAGUGAUGAUCGAUUGGUAUGAUCAAAGAGCAAAUGAGAGAGAAAAACGGAUGAGUAAGCCCAAAGAGUUUUCAGGUUACCCAAGAAUACUGAGUUUGUUCACCAACAUUUAGGUGCUUUAAAUAGAGAAGGAAGUAGCAUGCACUUAAGUGGGGUCCCGUAAUUGGGAGGAUUUCCUGUUCUUGUCAAAAAGAUAAAAGGUUGGGGAGAAGUGGCUCUAAUUCAUGUUAUUUAAUCAAUUAUUUUUGAGAAGAAAAGCAGAACAGGUGAAAGCCAGGGCCAAGUCACUGGCUGAUAUAAAGGAUAUAUAAAGCCAUAAUGAAGAAAAAAUCAACGAAUCCAGACAAAACCUACGAAGACAACAAGAAAAGGACACAUUUCUCAUCCUGAAAGUUUACCCAAAUCCUUCUCUCUUUCGAGAAGAAAAGCAGAGCAUGGUUUGAACCUGCUCUCAGUAGAGUUGUAAAAAACUAGGCGAGAAUUAAUCAAUUAAAUUUUAAGUUAAUUUAUUACCCGUCUUUGAUCCAUCCGAGUUAACCUUCGUAAUAUUUGUAAUGUGGAGCUCUUUAGCCAUUUCUUUUUUCCCAGACUCCAUUGAUUACUUGACAAUUCGAAAGCCAUUUUGGUUCUUUUUGUGCUUACCUUUACAUAUGUAGUCUAUCUCUUGGACGUUUCAUGCUUAAUUAAUUAAGGGAGUCUAUCUCUUGGACGUUUCAUGCUUAAUUAAUUAAGGGAGUGUUUUGUUUGGAGGUGGCUUUGGCUUUUUUGGUAGGAAUAAAAAAACAUGUAUUUUUAAUUUUUAAAAAUAUAAUUUAUAUUUUUAAAAAGUUAUAUUAAAAUUUUUUUUCUCACACCUUCAAGUCAAACACAUCCUGAAGUUGCGAACAUUGUACGAUGUUAUUUUUUUAAAAAAAUUGCAGCGAUCCCUUUGCCUGCAUGGUCUGCACACCACUGUUUCUUAUAGAAUGCAAAUCAGAACUACAGUUUGUUUUUAAUAAAUGUAUGGUAUUUCUCUUAUAUUAAUAAUUAAUAUUUUGAAACCUCGCAUCAGAAUUCAACAGAGUCCAGCAAUUGCAAACAAAAAAUAAUAAUGCAGAGAGAAGAAAAAACUUUAGCCCAUAAGCAUCCAUGGAUUCACAUUCGUGUAUCCAUCGUCAUUAUUUCAUAGGUCGCUAUCAAGCUUGCUAGCAAGAUAUAUUAAAUAGAUUUAUCGGGUAUCUGUAAGAGACACUCCUAAUCUUUAAUUAUUAUCUCCUGUGCUAAAAGAACCGGGAUAAAAAGAACAAUAAAGGUGUUGCUCCCUUUUUUGUCUUUUUCUUCUAAUUCAUCUUUCAUUUUUUUAUUGGUUUAGGCUCCGUUUGUUUGCUAGAAAAUAAUUUCGUUUUGGAAAGUGAAUUUCGAGGAAAGUGAAUUCUAGAAAAGUAAAUUUCGAGAAAGUAUUUUUCAAUGUUUGAUAGUAUAAUGAAAAAUGAGUUGGAAAAUAUUUUCCAGUGUUUGGUUAUGUCAUGGGAAAUGAGCUGGAAAAUAACUUAUUAAUAUUUUAUUUUUAUCAAGUUUAUUAAAAUAAUGAUGAAUAAAUCUUACAAAUUAAAAAGUUGAAUGAGAAUGAAAUUGAAAAAAAAUAAUUUCAUAAGUUAUUUUAAAUAAAAUAAAUAAUAAUCAAAAUAAUAGAGAUUAAAUCUAAAAAAUUAAAAAAAAAAAAUGAAGAAAUUAAAAUAAUAAUAAUCAACAUUUCAUAAAUUAUUUCAAAUAAAAUAAGUAACAAUCAAAAGAAUGAAGACCAAAUUUGAUAGAUAAAAAAUUUCAAUAAAAAUAUGAUAAGGAAAAAGCAAAUAGCAAUUAUAAAAAUAAGGACCAAAGUUAAUAUAAAAAUAAAAUUUUAAGAGAUGAAAUUGAAAAAUAAAUAUUCAAAACAAAAUAUAUAUAGCAAUCAAAAGUUUGAGGAUCAAAUUUGAUAUAUUCAGCAAAUAAUAACAUUUGUAAUUUUUUCACAACUUCCGGAAAGUGUUUUCCUCCCAAAUUUUUCAAGAAAACACUUUCCUGAAAAUCAAGCUAAAUUUUUCUUUUACUAGAAAGCGUUUUUCAUUGAUCAACUUUCCUACUGGCAAACAAACACAAGAAAGUUUGGAAAGUGAUUUCCCGGAAACCACUUUCCAGAAAACAAACACAGCUAAAGGGAAAACACUUUUCUGAAAACCAAAUCAAAUUUUUCUUUGACUGAAAUUGACCGGAAAAUAUUUUUCGUUGACCGGAAAAUGUUUUCUGUUGACUAACUUUUUUAAUGACAAACAAACACAGGAAAGUUUGGAAAAUAGUUUCCUAAAAAAAAUUAAUAUAUGUUUUAUGAAAUCUCUACUCACAAAUAGCCAUUAAAAAACAAUUAAUUUAUGUGUUUUAUGCUAGCUGGAUUAUUCGCUCGAUCCCCCCCCCCCCAAAAAAAAAAAAACAAAUAUAUGGAAAAAUGUUGGAUUCAAACAUGAAAACUUAGAUACUUAGCUAGAUCCUUUUCUAUUAAUAUAUAAUAUUCUAGAAUAGCCUUGCCUGAUCUUCCAAAGAAUCACGCGUACAAACCAAUUCAAAGCAACUAGUUUAAGGUUUGCUGUUUGAGAAAGAAAUAUAUAUCUUAAUUACAUGUUUCCAUGAUCAAUUCAGCAUUACAUGUGUUAUGAUCAUUAACCUCUUGAAAAAAAUCGAUUGCCUUUUCUUUUAUGGUGUUAAUGGACGAUUGCUCGUAAUAAAGUCUUUAAUACAAGCAAUCGUAAUAAAAAAAGAUAGAAAAAAACAUAUUUAUAUGAAGAUAAAUUUACGUAAAUUAAAUAAAUAUGCCUAUAUGGUAACAGUUUUUAAAAUAAAUUUAUAUAUUUUCAAAAACAAAAAAUAUAUAAAAAUAAGUAUAUCAUAUCUCUAUUAUUUAAUUUUAUCUUUUUUUUCUUCAAGUGUCGAAACAAAAAACUACCAAGAGUUCAAGUUGUGUGGCUAUAGUUGAUGGCACAAUUCUUCUAACAACGUAUGAGCGUACUCAUGAGUCAUGAUCACAAGCGAAGUACCAAGUGUAGUGUUUAAUUUUUCCACGUUAAUUUCCUGUUGUUCUUCCUGUUGUUUCUUCUCAUCACUGUUGAUCGUAAACUGAGAUUUGCAGUCAACCAUUGACAAGGUUGAGUGCUUCAAACACGCGCUGUUCUUGAUGAAUAUUGUUGACAGUACAGACCACUCGUGAACUUUAAGCCUAGAUCAUAAAAAAGAAAUAUUAAUAGAAGAACAUGCUUAUAUUUAUUAAAAUAAAAGAAAUGUAACAAUUUAAUUGAAAAUAUAUAAUAUGUAUUUGUUUUUUACGAGUAGACAUUUAAGUGAUUGAGUCUUACAAUCCAAUAACUCUAAUUUUUUAAUAAUUACCUAACUUGGAGAUGUCUCUUCAAACAAAAAGAAAAAACUAUGAAAUAUCCUUUUCAGACCAGCAGAACAAGACCGGCGGCAUUGACAACACAUUUAUCAUUUAUUUUUAUAUUGUAAAAGUAUUUUAAAAAAAAUUAAAUUUUUCAAACAAUUAUAUUUUACAAACAAAUGGGAAAAUUACAAAAUUACUCUGAUGAAAGACAGCGGCCUAGUUCUUUCUUUUCAAACAAAGGGGAAAAUUACAAAAUUACUCUGAUGAUGAUGAUAAUGUGGUUUUUUUUUUCACUUUACAAUUAAUUUUUCAACAAUUAUAUUUUACACCUUUAAUUUUUAAGAGUGUGGAAAAUACUUUUUAUCCUGAAGUGUUGAUGCCAAAAACAAAUAUCAAUAAAAAUUAUUUAUCAAUUUAUAAAAAUAUCAUUGUACUUUAAAUAAUAACUAAGAAAAUUUUUGAAAUCUAGAAAUAAUAAAAAUAUCAUUGCGUUUCUUUUCCCUUCUUACUAUUUUUUUAAAUUAAUAUUUUUUAAAAUAUUUUUAGAUUGAUAUAUUUAUAUUAAAAAUAUUUUAAAAUAAUAAUUAUAAAAAACAUUCAACGUUACAUGUCCCAAAAUUCAAAGAUCUUCUAUCUUAAAAAACCCAUCACUUUCCUCAAAAUGCCCGAACACAUCUACCAAAUAGAACGGAAGAUGUCUGUUUUAAUUUAUGGUUUGAAAGUGUUGGUAUGAUUAUUUUUUCGUGUAUAAAUUUGGACUAUAAUGAUUACUUUUUUUCGAAAAAGUCGUUGUGGUUCUAAUUUUUUUUUUCGUGUAUAGAUUUGAUGGUAGUAACACGAUGCCUGUUUAAGUAUUAUUUGAUAGCGUUGGUAUGAUUAUUUUUUAAAAUAAUUUUUAUAUUUAAAAUAAUAUUAUAAAAAUUUAAAGCUUUUAGAAAUUAUAGUUGAGCGGCUGCUUUUCAAAAUGUUUUUUACUUGUAAAUAUAUUAAAAUAAUUUUUAUUUUAUUUUUAAAAAAUUAUUUUUAAUAUGAGCGUAUUAAAAUAAUCUAAAAAUACUAAAAAUAUAUUAAUUUAAAAUAAAAAAAAUUAUAUUUUUUUUAAAAAAAAAUUUUAAAAUAUAAAAAUAAAUAAUACCUAAUCUGAAUCUCAUUUAAUCAUGGCCCUUGGAAUUUCUUCAGUCCAAUAUCGGAAGUGAUUUUAAAUACCAUUUUAGAGAAAGAAAUGGUCUUUUAACACUGCUUCGUGCAAUUUUUUAAUGUAGAUAAAAAUAAAUAAACCUAUGAAAUCAUUGACAAGUUCAUUGAUCUCGGACUCCGAAAAUCUUUAAGAUUUGCAGCUCAAACAAGUUAAUUGAACUAGUUUGACCUCAAAUAAAAAAUGUGUUAUUUAAUAAGGGCACUAGUAGUUUGUUUUUAGAGACUCUGCCGCCAUGUCCCAGUUCAAAGGGUCAUUAGUGUUAAAUCCUAGUGAACCAUUGCCAUUGCGUGAAUCUUGACAAAAUUCCAUUUUUUCGUUAAGUUGCGAGGCACUAAAUGUAUUUAGGAAUUUUCAGGCUACUCCUGGGUUUGUUCACGAAAAUUUAGGUGUUUUAAGAGCGUGUUUGUCAGUGUGGUAGCGGUUUUUUUUUAAAUAACUUUUCGUGUCGAAAUACAUGUCAAUGAUGUUUUUUUAUUUUUAAAAAAUUAUUUUUGAUAUCAGCACAUCAAAACGAUCCAAAAAGUACAAACCACACUUAAUUUUAAUAAAUUUUUUUUUUUUGAAAUUUGACGAAAUGCAGGUUGAAAAGUGUAUGUGGCCGUUGGAUCAUCAUGGGAUUCAAUGGGUGGGAUUGUGACACUUGGGAUGUUGUGGUAAGUAGCAUGCACUUAAGUGGUGAAUUUUCAUCGUGAGUGCAUGGUAAAUCCAAGAAUCAUGGCGGCUGGAUCAAUGCCAGGCAAAAAUAUUAUAGAAGAAAACUCAAGUAAAAUUUAUUAGUUGUAAUCACGUGCUUCUUUUGGCUAGUCCUACUGAGAUCUACUUAAUUGGGUGUUAAAACGGCCUCAACAGUGGGCUUGAUGGCUAAAUUUAGAAGAAAAAAACGUUAUUAAAAUAAUAUUUAUGGGGACCGAGCUGAGAUUACUUGAUAGGGCAAAACUCAAGAUAUAAUUUGUUAUUAGAAAAUCCAUCUAUUUAAAAUAAAAAAAUAGUAUAAUAUUAUUCUAUAUUCAAACAUUAAAUAAUAAAAAAAUCCAAAAUCUUUGACAAUUUAAAUCGAACGUCGGGUUUGAACAAGUGAAAGCCAGGGCCAAGUCACUGGCUGAUAUAUAGGAUAUAAAGCCAUAAUGAAGAAAAAAUCAACGAAUCCAGACAAAACCUACGAAGACAACAAGAAAAGGACAAAUUUCUCAUCCUGAAAGUUUACCCAAAUCCUUCUCUCUUUCGAGAAGAAAAGCAGAGCAUAGAGAGCCACCUUUAUUAAAAACCCUGCUUGCCCCAUAGUUUGAACUAGGCGAGAAUGAGAAUUAAUCAUUUAAAUUUUAAGUUACCUGUCAAGUUAAUUUAUGAUCCAAACCCUAUUUUUUUUUCUUCAAAGCAACUAGUUUAAGGUUAGCUGUUUGCAUGAGAAGGAAACACAGUUUACAUGUUUCCCAUGAUCAAUUCAGCAUUACACGUGUUAUGAUCAUUAACCUCUUGAAAAAAACCGAAUGCCUUUUCUUUUUAUGGUGUUAAUGGACGAUUGCUCAUAAUAAAGUCUUUAUUAUGAGCAAUCGUAAUAAAAAAGAUAGAAAGAAACAUUUUUAUUUACACAAAUAAAAUAAACAUGUCUCUAUGGUAACAGUUUUUAAGAUAAAUUUAUAUAUUUUUAAAACAAGAAAUAUAUGAAAUUAUGUAUAUCAUAUCUCUAUUAUUUUUAUCUUUUACUCCCAGUAUCGUGAGGUUCCUGGUAGAUAUCCAGCAGCCUGCAUCAAUAAAAAAAGAUACAUCAGUGUAGAACACCACGGUGCACAUAUUCUUUAAGAAAAUGUAAGAAAAAGAAGAAAAUAGUAGCCAGGAGUUGUUGUGGUUAGACCACCGGGUCAUGUUCACCACCAAACACAGCCGUGGUUCUCAUCCAAGGAGGGUAGGUGAAGACAAUGAGAAAAUCAUAGAGAUCAAGCUUACUGCUUUACUUAACUUGUUGCACUCUUGGACAAUGAGAAAACCAGGAGUUGUUGUGGUUAGACCGGGUCUUAUUCUCCUCUGAGUUUUUCUCCAGAUUCAGAAUAGAAUAAUGAUUAAGAUAAACGUGACUGGGCUGCUGCUCGUAGUGGAGAGGGUAGGUGAACACAAUGAGAAAAGCAGGGGUCUCUCCAGCACAGCUUGGAAACAGAGGCGCAACUCUCAUACUGUGUAGGACUUGUAGCAAGACAACAACCAUGUGCCUCUUAGAGGACACUCGAGACAGUGACUUGAAUGAUCUCUAACGAGCAUUUGGACUAACAACUCGAGUGUUCGCUGUCACUGGUUUGAACAAAGGUUUUGGCUGUGUUCAUCUAGUUAACGAGGAAGAUGCUCGGAGAGAGCCAUCGACAAUCUCAUGGAUAUGGCUAUGAUAAUCUCGUCCUCAGAGUUGAGUGGUCUGCACCUCGCUGGAUCAAAGUAGAUGAAAUUCCUCAAUCAGAAAGUUUUAGUUCUAGUGCUUUAAUUAUGUUCGUUUUUUUUUUUUUGCAGCAUGCUAGCUUUUGCGAAGAGAUAGGUGUUGCCCUCAUCAACCGCUCCUCGUUUCUUCGUCAAUAAAGACAAGAGAAAGAAAGGAAAAAGGUGGUGAUAAAUAUUUUACCAGACGGGUUUACGCCAUGUCUCAACAAAAAUAGAAAGAUAACUGACUCGGUAUAACUUGGUUAGGAUAAAAAACGAUACUUUUUAGUUGACAGACAUCAAUAAAAUAAUAUUAUUCAUUAACUGAAAAUAUUAAAAUUUAAACAUGACAUCAUUAAUUUUAAAAACUAAAAUAAUAUUAUUUUGGUAAAUAUCUUUUUCAAAAAAAAAAUAUUGAAAUUCACCCAUUCUAUUCUCAUCUAAUUUUAUGUAGUCAUUUUAAUAUUCAAAACAGCUCAAAAUAAAAAUUAACUAUAUAAAAUAAUAAAUUAUCCAAUUGAUCUAUGAAAUUGGAUCGAAAUUCUUCAACAAUAUACAUUUAAAACACAUACUUGUAUAGAAUUUGAAUUAACUAUAGUUUCAUUGUUUUGAAACCUAGUGAACUUCGAAUUUUCAGUGUCCUCGUAUUAAUUAAACUCUAAAAGUUUCAGGUGGCCAUCAACAGUUGAGGUGGCGCUACGUGGCCUCGUGUGAGAUGCCCCUCCCUUAGUCACUCUAGUAUAAGCUAGCCCUGAUUAUUUUGGAUGGGCUGGGCCUAUAUGGAUUUAAAUUAGAAUAUGUCAGACUCUCCAAUAUCAUUAGAUUAAUCACUCUUUUUUUAGCUUAGCUUCUCGAUCUAUGUUAACUGGAAAAAAGACGUUUCUUUGUUUUUUUUUUUUGUAUAUUAUAAUUAUAUAAAAAAAUAUCCUGUGAUUUUCUUAAAUGAUUAUAUAUAUUUAUAAUUAUUAUUUUUCCAUACUUGUACAAGUAAAAUACAUAGCAAAGUCUAUUUUGACAGCAGAUCCAUUGUAUCCUUAAAUUUCAAAUUCAAUUAUUGAAUUUGUACCUGAUCAAUAUUUCUCCACCUUUUCAGGUAAGUUUGGUUUUUUAUUUUUUAUUUUUUUGCAGUGGUUACCAAGAAAAAAAAGAGUAAAAUUUGGUAAGUGUGGUAUUAUGAAUAUGAUCGCAGUUUCAAGUGGGUUUUUAUCUCACUAUUAACAUGCAUUGUCAAGAAAUCAUGAACAUGACAAGACAACCCUUUAUGAACAAGAACAUUAACUAUUCUAAAAAAUAAAAUCCCUAACGAUUAUAUAUUUGUAAAACCAAAAAGGUAAUCUUGCUUGCAAAUUUAUUAGAUUUAAAUGCAACUAAAGAGCUUAAGAUUUUGGCUUAAAUCAUUUGAAACCUGUAUUGCUAGGCAUUUGAGUGGUAGUGUAUAGAAAUUAGACAAAAAAAAAACUUAUCUUUUUUUAUUUAGGAUGAUGCCUUUGCUCUUGUCCAAAGAAAUAUUCUUUAAUGAUUUCAAAGUAAAUAGAAAACAUAGACAUACAGUUUGCAUGUUACGUGCAAAUUGACUUGGCAAGUAAGCUUAGUAAGAAAAAAGAAAAAGAUGAUUACAAGACAACCAUGGCUUAGCAAAUAGGAAGAGGAGCACCAUCCCAUUCCUUCAAGCAUUCCAGCAAGGGAUCGAUUAACUUUCCUGCACAGAUAGCUGUGAAAACCUUGUCGAACUCCUCGCCGGGCGAUUUGACCUUCUCACCUGUUAGCAAACUAGUUCUCAAUUCUUCCCUCACAAACUUGUACAGGGGGUAUGACCUGCAUUCUUUGAUCCUGUUUGGAAUAGCUGGAUUUCCAUUCUCAACUUCAAGUCUAGCACUCUCCACUUCUUUAGGCAAAAGGAUCUUCAGUUCUUCCUCAAAAGAUCCGAUCUUUUGGAAAAUCGAAGUGGUUGAAUUCCUUUCCUUUUCGCCAUUCACCAAGGCAUGCUCGACUAGUACUUGCCUUAGCUUUUGCAUUAAUGGAUAGGUUGCACUGCAAGGAUCGUCAAUAUAGAAAAAGACAUGCUCUCUGUCAACAACCUUGAGCAAGUCUUUUUCACAGAAUCUUGAAGGGUGAAGCUCGCCAUUGAAGCCCAUUGUCAAGACUCUCUUGGCAACUUGGCUGAUAGUGUUCUUGACUGUGUUCUUCAGGUUCUCCUCUAUGUGCCUCAAGUCAACGGCCUGGCAUAGACCAACCAAGAAAGUGGUGGACAUGAGCUUCAAUAUGUCAAUAGCUUCAGCUGUUUUUCUUGAAGAAAUCAAGCCUAGGGAGUUGACAUCUUGGUUGUGUUGCUCAGCACUUUGGACAUGAUUGGUGACAGGAUUGGCAAGGAAUUGGAGCUCCGAGCAGUAAGAUGCCAUGGCAAUUUCAGCACCUUUGAACCCGUAAUCCAAGCUUGGAUUGCGGCCACCAGUGAGGUUUGAAGGCAAUCCAUUGUUGUAGAAGUCGUUAACAAGUUCAGAGAAUUGUGCAAACAUGAGUUUGCCAAUGGAAGCAAUGGCCAAACGAGUGUUGUCCAUUGAAACACCAAUAGGGGUCCCCUGGAAAUUCCCUCCAUGUAGAGCCUUAUUCCUCGACACGUCAAUCAAAGGAUUGUCAUUGACAGAGUUGAUUUCUCGUUCGAUCAUUUUCGUUGAUGUUCUAAUCACUUCAAUCAGAGGGCCUAGCCAUUGUGGAGAUGUUCGAAGAGCAUAUCGGUCUUGUUUAGGUUUUUGUAGAGGAUCGAUCUCAUGUAACUUCUGAGCUUCUUUAACAUAGGCGCUGCCAUCUAAAAUAUGUUCCAUGAUGGCGGCAGCUUCAAUUUGGCCAGGAUGAUGCUUCAAUUUAUGUGUCAGGUGAUCAGUAAACUCAGGUUUUCCUUGCAUGACUUCAGCAAAGAUUGCUGACAAAACUUCUGAUAGGAUUGCCAACACAUUAGCCUCAAAAAGCACCAUUGAAGCUAGACCGGAACCCACUGCAGUACCAUUCACUAGCGCUAGACCUUCUUUCGGCUGUAACUCAAAAAAGCCGCCAACAAUCCCAGCUUGUGUAAAGGCUUCAGCAGAGCUCAGGGGCUCUCCAUUGGGUCCAACUGCCUUUGAAUUAGGCCUGCCUGUCAAGAGCCCAGCAAUGUAGGACAAUGGGACAAGGUCACCAGAGGCAGUGAUUGUUCCUCUCAAUGGCAAACAUGGGGUGAUGUUGUGGUUGAGCAGCUUGGUGAUCGCUUCCAACAUCUCAAAUCUUAUGCCCGAAUAACCUUGAAGCAGGGUGUUGGUUCUGACCAACAUAGCUGCCCUGGUUGCUGAGUGAGACAAUGUAUGGCUAGACUCCGUGCCAUUCCCAAAGAUACCGGCAUUUAAGAACCUAGUGAAAUAAAAUCCCAUAAACCACAUUAGGAACAACCUUAAUUGGAAAAAAAAAUUAGUUGAGAAGUUUUUUUGGUAAUAGAAUUUUGAAUUAGUUAUUCUUGCAAGAACCUCAGCGAAGUGUAGGUGACAAUUUGUAACCAAAAAAUGUUACUAGCAGCUAGGAUAGUUUCUUGCACUCUUUCUUAAGAUUGGCAAACCAUAAUUAACGAAGUAAAUUACAAGUAAUUAAUGAUGUUUACCGUCCGGGACACUAGACUUUUUCUCUUUGAAUAUUUUUUAUUUGAUGGUUAAAUAACACAAUACGAGUCAAGUCAACUUGGAAAUAUACACAAAGUAAAACUUUUUAUUUGAAAUUCAGGCACCUAAAUGAUCUUUGAUACGUAAUUUAAAUAUAAUUAGGCCGGUUGGAAAUAUUCAACCCUUUAUAAUAGUUUAUUUCACUGCUGUAAUCUGAUCACCUACCUACCACAUCAUCUCUCUCUCUUUUUUUUUUUUUUGUCCUUGCUGGACUUCCACUUACAGCCUACCAACCUAACAAUAACAAGUUAACAAGACUUCUGAUGAAACGUGUGCGUGCUAAUUUCAGGCAUUUUCCAGGAGAGUGAAGGAGCAUAAGUUAAGGCUCACAUGCACUUGUGGUAUCUUCCUCCCUAACAAAAACUCCUCUUUUUUUUCUGUCUCUAAAAGACAUUGGUUGUUUUUUCCUGGGAAAUAUGAAUACUAACAAGCCAACAAUCCCCUAUUUAAAGUAACAAAUUAACAAUAUCAUGGAAUAAAAAAAAAACUGCUUGAUAUAUACAGUAAUAUAAAAAGCUACCUUACUAGCAGUUAAGAUACAAGUAAAGUAAAUUUUGGGAUUUGUCAUGAGUUUGAUUACCUUAUAAGCUCCUUUUGAAGCUCCCCACCUUGCUUGGUUCUUCUAUGUGAGGUUGCACCAAAACCAGUAGUAACACCAUAACUGUCUGUUCCCUUGCCCAUGCUGUCCAUGACCCAGUCACUGCUGGCCUUGACACCAGCUCGAGCCUCCUCUGACAACUCCACCAUGACACCAACGUCACGGCUAGCAAUUGCAGUUACCUGACCUAUGGUCAGGGUCUCACCUCCUAACUUGACCACAGGCUUCCUGUACUCCUCGAUCAUGCGCUUGACCUCAUCUAGGUGGCUUCCUUUUAGUGAGUCUGCCGCCAUGCCCCAGUUCAAAGGGUCAUUAGUGUUAAAUCCUGGUGAACCAUUGACAUUGCGUGAAUCUUGACAAAAUUCCAUUUUUUUCCUGUAAAGCUAUGAUCCUCUAUGCCAAAAUGGAGGAGAGACAAAAAAAGAGUGAUGGAUGGAUUGGUAUGAUCAAAGAUAAAAUGAGAGAGAAGAACGGAUGUGCGAGCACAAAGAAUAUUCUGGCGUAAAAAAUUAUAUGAGGGUUGUAUAGUAAAAAACAAAUUGAAGUUGCGAGGCUCUGAAUGUAUGUAGGAAUUUUCAGGUUACCCAAAAAUCCUGAGUUUUUUCACCAAAAUUUAGGUGCUUUAAAUAGAGAAGAAAGGAGGGGCAGGCAGGUAGAGGGUGGGUUGGGUUGGCCGAUGUGUUAGUUGAAAAGUGUACGUGGCCGUUGGAUCAUCGUUGUAUUCAAUGGGUGGGAUUGUGACACUUGGGAUGCUGUGGUAAGUAGCAUGCACUUAAGUGGGGUCGCAUAAUUGGGAGGAUUUCCUGUUCUUGUCAAAAAGAUGGAGGGUCGGGGAGAAAUGGGGUUGGUUGAGAAGUGGCACAUCAGCACUUACGUCAUGGCUCUAAUUCGUAUUAUUUAAUCAAUGAUUUUUCUGCCAUGAAAUUUAAAUCACCAUAUCUACCUAUGUUUUCCUUCCAUAAAUGGCAGAGGGAAUUAUAACGAUCGACGGUGUCUGGAUAUCAUGAACACAUCCAUGCAUAUAUUUACUUGAAAAUAGUAAAAAAUCCAUUUUUUCUCUAUUUAUCAUUGAUUUUGUUAGUCAUUUUCCUUUUAAAAAAUAAAUAGAGAUAAUUAUAUAUCAUGAGAUAUUUACGGAUUGUUUUGAAUUUCUACAGUUUCUCUUUUAUUUCUUAUAAAACUUCCCGUCAUCCUAGCUUUCAAGUUGAUGCAAGCUAUUGGACUUGGGCAUUGUUAAUUUCUAACUCGGCCUUGGUGUUAGGUAUUUUUUUUUUUAUAUCAAUUAUAUUAAGUUGUGAAUUUUCAUUGCCAGUGCAUGGUAAAUCCAAGAAUCAUGUCGGCUGGAUCAAUGCCAGGCAAAAAUAUUAUAGAAUAUUAUUUGGUGUUCCGGUUCAACCGAUCUGGAGAAUUUAUGUCAGAUAUAAUUAAGGAUAGUUAGGGUUUUUUCUUACAAGUGAAAGCCGGGACCAAGUCACUGGCUGAUAAUAGAGCCAUAAUGAAGAAAAAAAAUCAAAGAAUAAAAAAAAAACGCCUACGAAGACAACAAAGAAAAGGAUAUAUUUACAUUUGAGGGUCUAGUCCAUUGAUCAAUUGCAAGACUUGUCUUUGCGAACGUCCUAGGUUCGAACCUUAAGAGUACCAACCUGUUACCCCCGCGGUGCCUUACCUGCCUACCGGGCUUGCAGGAUGUUCAGUAGGUCCUGUGAUUAGUUGUGGUGCGCGCGCGCAAACUGUCCCGGACACCCAGGGUCAUAAAAAAAAAAAAUAUAUUUCUCAUCAAGGUUUGCCCAUAUCCUUCUCUCUUUUGAGAAGAAAAGCAGAGCAUAGGGAACCACCUUUAUUAAACCCCGCUUGCCCUAUAGUUUGAAUUCCUGCUCUAAGUAGAGUUGUAAAAAACUAGGGGAGAAUUAAUCCAUUUCUUAUCCUUUUCAUUUUAAUUCAGUCUAUUUUCGGUUAUUAAUGUGAAACUUUUCGUUUUGAAUUCUUUAUCCACAUGAUCACAAUUAAGAAAUUUAUGACAAAUCUAUUUCUUAUCCUUCACGUAACAUUUGAACUAUAGUGUUAUUAAAAUGAUAAAAUCUAUCCAAGCUAGCUGGUUGACCUGAAAACUGUCUUGGACUGGGUGUAAAAAGACCAGGCAAGAAAUGAUCUAGUCAAAUAUAAAACGUCCAAGAGCUAGUCAAAUAUGACCCGAUCAAAAUAAAAUUUAAUUUUUUUAAAAUAAAAAUAAAAUAAUAUUAUUUUUAUAAAGUUAACUAGUAACAAGAAAAGCUGGAAGCAUUCAACUCAUGGCCGGCCGUUCUUCAUUUGUAAUGUGGAGCACUUUAGCCAUUUCUUUUUCCCAGACUCCAUUGAUUACUGGACAAUUUGAAAGCCAUUUUGGUUCUUUUUUUUUUUGCAUACCUUUACAUAUGUAGUCUAUCUCUUGGACGUUUCAUGCUUAUAAUUAAGGACCUGCGCGUGGAACCUUGUACGAAUUUUUUUUUAAAUUUUUUUGCAGCGAUCCCUUUGCCUGCAUGGUCUGCACACCACUGUUUCUUAUAGAAUGCAAAUCACAAUUACAGUUUGUUUUUAAUAAAUGUAUGGUAUUUCUAUUAUUUUAAUAAUAUUUUGAAACCUCGCAUCAGAAUUCUACACAGUCCAGCAAUUGCAAACAAAAAAUAAUAAUGCAGAGAGAAGAAAAAACUUUAGCCCAUAAGCAUCCAUGGAUUCACAUUCGUGUAGCCAUUGUCAUUAUUUCAUAGGUCGCCAUCAAGCUUGCUUGCUUGCUAGCAAGAUAUAUUAAAUAGAUUUUUCGGGUAUUUGUAAGAGACACUCCUAAUCUUUAAUUAUUAUCUCCUGUGCUAAAAGAACCGGGAUAAAAAGAACAAUAAAGGUGUUGCUCCCUUUUUUGUCUUUUUCUUUGAAUCCAUCUUUUAUUUUUUUAUUGAUUUUUUUAAUUCUUUAAUAUUUAAACUUAUUCUCGUAAUUUAUUUCAAAUUAUUUCUAUUUUUAUUCAUGUUUAAUUUUAAAAAUACUUAUUUUUAUUAUUACAUAGUUAAAAUAAAAUUGUUAAAUUCAAUAGAGUUUAUGAUCUAAUUUACAGGUUUAACAAAUUAAUUUAUAAAAUUUAGAUAAAUUUAAUAUAUUAUCAUUUUAAUUUUUUAAAAAAUAUUAAUUUAAAUUUAUAUUUUAAAAAUCAAACCAUAUUUAUCCAAUAUCAUUUGGUUAAUUUUAAACACGAGCCAGUCAAAUAAUUACUGGUUAACGUUUACUUUUAGGGUUUUGAUAGGUUGGGUUCUUACAUUUCUUGUACUUGCAAAUUCCUCUUGUUCUCACCAACUUCCCAUUUUAUUUUUUAUUUUAUUGUGGUUGGUAGGGUGCUGCCAUUGAAGUCUUCUUUGCCCCCACCUCCUCCUCAUCCACUAUAAUUUUCCUAAAUAUCUCUACGUACUGAUCGAAGUUUAUUUAUCUCAAACAAUAUAAAUCGUUUUCUAAUUAAUUUGACUUUAAUGUUGAUUCUAUGACGCUAGCUGAUUAUUUAUGCCAAGUAUGGUGUGCUGUCGCAAUCCUAGUGCCAGUAAUUACAGUGCCAUCUGAUCAAUAUUAUUUAGGCUAUGUUUAUUUUUUAUUUUGAAAGUGCUUUUAAAGAUUUUUUUAAUUAUUUUUUUAAUGUUUUCAAAUUAAUUUGAUGGGCUAAUAUCAAAAAUAAUUUUUAAAAAAUAAAAAAAUCAUUAUUUUGAUAUAUUUUCUAAAAAAAAACAUAUUUAUAUGAAGAUAAAUUUAUGUAAAUAAAAUAAAUAUGCCUAUAUGGUAACAGUUUUUAAAAUAAAUUUAUAUAUAUUUUCAAAACAAGAAAUAUAUGAAAAUAAGUAUAUAUCAUAUCUCUAUUAUUUAAUUUUAUCUUUCUUCUUCAAGUGUCCUAACAAAAAACUACCAAGAGUUCAAGUAGUGUGGCUAUAGUUGAUGGCACAAUUCUUCUAACAACGUAUGAGCAUACUCCUGAUCACAAGCAAAGUACCAAGUAUAGUGUUUAUUUUUUCCACAUUAAUUUCUUGUUGUUCUUCUUCCUGUUGUUUCUUCUCAUCACUGUUGAUCAUAAACUGAGAUUUGCAGUCAACCAUUGACAAGGUUGAGUGCUUCAAACACGCGCUGUUCUCGAUGAAUAUUGUUGACAAUAUUGACCAAUUUAGCAAGUCCAAGAAUGACAAAAGCUGACAGUGAGGAUUUCGUUUUUAUUUCUUAGACGUGAGGUUCCUGGUAGAUAUCCAGCAGCCUGCAUCAAUUAAAAAAGAUACAUCAGACUAUCAGAGUGGAGAACACCACAGUGCAUAUAUUCCUUAAGAACAUGUAAAAAAAAAAGGAAAAUAGUAGCCAGGAGCUGUUGUGGCUAGACAGACGGGUCUUGUUCACCACCAACCACAGUUGUGGUUCUCAUCCAGGGAGGGUAGGUGAAGACAAUGAGAAAAUCAUAGCGAGAUCAAGCUUACAGGCUUUAAUUAAUUUGUCAAACUCUUGGAUAAGCUACAUGUGUGGUUGGUGAGAGCCUCACUCCAUGCACAUAAUAUGGUCAAAGUGAAAUUAGUCAAGCUUAUUUUUUGGUCAAUUAUUGAAUAAAAUCGUUGGAUAAGCUACAAUGUUAGAUAUUUUUAAUUUUUAAUAUUAGUAUAUUAAAAAUUAAGUUUGUCUUCUCUUUUUGGUUUACAGCCAAAAUAUUUUUCUCCUCUGAUUUUUUCUCAAAAUUCAGAAUAGAAUAAUGAUUGAGAUAAACGUGACUGGGCUGCUACUCGUAGUGGGGAGAGAAAAGAUCGAAAGUGAAGGUUGUUGAUGUGGCUGGAUGAAAAGUAUGUGGUGGUGCCGUUAAAAUUAAAAUCAAGCCACAACCCUUAAUUUGAAAUUAAAAACCCUAAUUUGAAAUGAAAAGUAUGAUAAUGGAUGAAAGUUGUAUCUCUAUGAGUGUAGGUGAAUUUGGGAAUUUUGAAUUGCUUGAUUUCGAUAUCAAAAGCUCAUAAUAUUUCUGUUUGAAUAUCUAACGUGAAAGUAGAAAAUUCUGCCGCGAAAAUACUCCUGACUCGAGUUUUGCACUAAAGACUCUAUUUCCAUCAUAAAUUUUAUUGAUUUGUUCUUAGAUCAUACUUUCAGUCAUAUAAGGAUGCUCGACAUUAUCAGUUUCUGAAUUAGAUUAGGCUACCCUUUUUGACCAACCAGAUUACUGCUAGAUUCUGUUAUCUAAAAAGAUUUUAUCUCACUUUGAAUCCUUCAUUAAAGUUAUAGUCCUAGACGUGUAGAUAAAUUUGGGCUUUUGAAUCACUUGAUUUCGAUAUCAAAAGCUCAAGAUAUUCCCGUUUGAAUAUUUAGUGUGAAAGCAGAGAUUCCAGCUGCGAAAAGGAUUUUUGCCCGAGUUCAGGGACACAAUUGCAAGAUGCUUAAAGUUUGAAGAUUAAUUGCAAGCCAAUUUAAAGCCCUUUUUUGGACCAAGGACCAAAUGGAAAAGGUGCAAAAAUAAGGAAGUUGAGUGAAGAUAAAAUUAGAAGGAAUUUUGCCGGAGGAAGAAAUUGAAGAACCACGUUUUUAUCUGUACAGCUAGCUUGAUUUUUCUUUCCUUUUAUCUGCAAUUUCCUGUUUGGUUUCCAUGUUUAUCUCGCUUGAAUGGAAAGUUGCAGACCACGUGUUUAUUGCCUCAUUACAAAGGGAGCAGCUAGUGCUUCAUGGUCCCAGCUAUGGAAGUAAAGAAAGAAGUCGCACCAUCCUCUAAAAUGCUAGAAAGAAAACAGAUAUGAUCACAAAAUCAGAAUCAAAAUAUUUUGGUUUUUUAUUUCUGCUCACCCAAGAUUACACCCUAGAGUUAAUGUAAUAUUUGUUUCCUAAAUAAAGUUGCGUUUAAGGUUAUAAGCCUCCUUUGCUGGGAGGAGAAAAAGGAUGAAAAAAAAAGAGGAGGACAGGAAAGAGGAGAGAAAAAAAGGGCGAGGAAUGAAUGGAAAAAAGAGAGAGCAGAACGCCACUGUCAAAAGAAGAUAAACAUAAAGGCAGGGGUGUGAACUCAACCAGUAUAACAUGUUUUCAUCGUCGUCUCCCUCAUCAUCUCCACAAAGAGCGUCAACAGAAGGAAAGAAAAGGAACAAAGAUCAUCAAUCGACGUGGAUUGUUUUCAUUGUCCCUAGAAGCAGUGACCACCGGCUGUGCGUCAAAGCUGCAGUAUCGUUGUCUUCAUCCAUCUCAGUUACCAGAGAGGGAGAGAAAGAAAACACAGAAAACGGGACAGAGGAGGAGAAAAAAAAGGGGAGAAAGUGCAAGGAAAAAAAAAAGAAAAAAGAAGAGAAACCAUAAACCAGCAGGGACUGCCUUCCGGUCUUCACUUUCAUUUUUUUUACAUAUAAAAUCUGCAGAACAGGGAAGAAGAAAGUGCAGAAAACCAAUGUUGAGAGAGGGAUGAAGAUUGCAGAGGUGAAAUUAAGAAGAAGAACGCCAACAGAGAAUAGGAGGAAAGAGCUAAAGCAGACAGCAGCACUAAUCGACUAGCCAGCAAGCCUUCAAACAUCAUCGUUGUCCUUUCGUUCCCAAGUCUGUUCUCUUCACCUCUCGCACCAUGCAUUUUCUUGCUAUAUGUUUGCACUAUUCAAGUGAAUUUUUAUUCACUUGAUCAGUAGCGUGGUCUCUUUGCAUGCAUUCCGCCUUGUUUAUUGAGAGGACUGCGCCUUUUUUUGUGUCCAACCGGGUCACUUGCUUGGGCAAGUGACCCUAGCGAACCUGUUGUUCUCUUUUAAAAAAAAAAAAAGAGAAAGAGAUUUAUGAAUUUCUGGCAUAUUUAUUUUAAGGUCUGAAUUUUUUUAUGUUAUAAAAAAAUAUCAAUCUUGUAUUUAGAAUACCAGGUUUUCGACGCAAUGUGACAAAUAUAUAUAUAUAUAUAUAAAAUGUUCUCUUAUAUGUUGCAUACGGUUAAUACCCUAACAUGUUUUGAACGCUUUUUUUUAUAUAAAAAAUAUUGGAAGUUUUGAAAAUGUUUUUUCACAUGAAUCUCUUAAACACAACAAAAAUUAUUUUCUUGCAUUUCUGGAUUUGACAACAUGUUUGUAAAACUCUAAAGAGUAUUGACCAAUAUUCCAAAACAAUAAAAAACAAAAAAACUUAUUUUAGGGGAAUUCAUAUAUUAUUCACCGUUAAUGUUUGGAUAAAAAAAUUCCAAAUGGAUGAAUAUCCAAAAUAUUAACGGGAAUAACUUGUUAUUAUUCACUGUUAAUAUUUGGAUAAUGAAACUCUAAGUGGUAAAUAUCCAAAAUAAUUUUAUAGGGAUAAUAAGUUAUCACACAUCCUUGAAAGAAGUCUCGAUUAUAAUCGAGGACAUUUCAAUUUUUUACUCCAUAGUUUACGAGCCGUGAGAGCAUAAAACAUUAAGGCAAAAAUAGGCUUUUAAAAUGCCUUAGAUUUCUAAAUAUUUGUCCCUCCUCCUUACAAUUUACGAGUCGCAAACUCGUGAAAUACUAAGGGAAAAAUGAGCUUUUUAAAGCACAUAGAAUCUCCUUGGAUUUCUAUCUUAAUAAAUUUAGUUUGAAUCAAACCUAGAAAAACUGAUGGGACUAGAAAACACCAACACCAUAACAAUUAUAAAGCAAACCAAACACCAAGAAACUUAUCUUAGGUAAGGCGUACUAGAGGGGUUAAUACCUUCCCUUUACGUGAUCAGUCUCUUUCCUUAGAAUCUAUGAAAGACCACUUAGGGUUCCUAGUGACCAAAAUACUAGUUGGCAAAUCCUUUACAUAAAAAACAAAAAAAAAACCUGAAAUCAAUCGUGGGUCACCACGACACCACACUCCAUCGUGAGAGUGCGACAAUAGCCACAAAACAAAUGAAAUUAUGAUGACGUUUUACAAUCCAGUCCUUUCUUUUUUUCAAAUCCCUCAACAAAAUCAAAUAACAUCCUAACAAAUGGUCUUCAAUUAACCCGUUAAAUUCUUGAAACAUUAAAUUGGGCCCCUCAAAUCAGACUUGCAAACUAAGGUCAGGACCCUUCUUGCGAUAGGAUUAUCUACUUUCACGUUUAGAUAUUCAAACAGGAAUAUCUUGAGCUCCUGAUAUCGAAAUCAAGUGAUUCAAAAUUCCAAAUUUAUCUACACGUCUAGGAUUACAACUUUGAUGAAGGAUUCGAAGUGAGAAAAAAUCGUUUUAAAGAACAGAAUCUGGUAGCAAUCUGGUUGGUCAAAAAGGGUCUCCUGAUCUAAUUCAGAAAAUUACAAUGCCAAGCAUCUCGAUAUGACAAAGAGUAUGACCUAAGAACAAAGACCAAUAAAAUUGUGACGGAAGCAGAGUCUUUAGUGCAAAACUCAUGUCAGAAUCCUUAUCGUGGCAGAAUUCUCUACUUUCACGUUAGAUAUUCAAACGGGAAUAUCAUGAGCUUUUGAUAUCGAAAUCAAGCGAUUCAAAAGCCAAAAUUCAUCUACGCAUAGAAGACUACAACUUUGAUAAAGUAUCCAAAGUGAGAUAAAAUCAUUUUGAAGAACAGAAUCUAGCUGCAAUCUGGUUGGUAAAAAAGGGUUUCCUGAUCUGAUUCAGGAAAAUAACAAUGUGGAGCAUCCAAAUCUAAUUAAGAGUCUUCCAUAAGAGCAAUGAGCCCUAGGACCCAAUAAAGGUGUAGGUCAAUUCUUCAACAUGUCAUGAGUGAUAAAAUAUAGCUAGGAUGAUCAGAUAUUAUAUGAAACCAAAUCAGAAUCAGAGCCUAAGUUGGAACAAAAAAUUGCGACAAUAGUAGAAUCAAUUUUUUUGUGUGCAAAUUCUGAGGGAUUUAUCCAACCUUAAAUAUCGUAUAAAAUAAAAUAAAAAUAAAUGAAUUUAGCAUUAUGAAGACUCAUAAUCAGUCUAAGAAACCUGAUGAUUUUUAGCAGCAAAGAGGGAGGAUAAAGAGGGCAAAAAAACAACUCAAACAGGAUUCGAAAAACAUUUAUUUCUUCUCCACUUUUAUCAAUUCGUUAACAAUCAUGCACUAAACUCUUUUAUUUGGUUCAAAAGACGUACACACCAUCUACAACACGUAAGGCCUAAAAAUGAGUAACAACAAUAGGCAUAUAGUGUGCUUGUUACGUACAAACUGACAUGGCUAAUAAGCUUUGUAAGGAAAAAAAAAGAAAGAUGAUUACAUGACAUCUAUAGCUUAGCAAAUAGGAAGAGGAGCACCAUUCCAUUCCUUCAAGCAUUCCAGCAAGGGAUCCAUCAACUUCCCUGUACAGAUAGCUGUGAAAACCUUGUCGAAAUCCUCGCCAGGCGAUUUAACCUUCUCACCUGUUAGCAAACUAGUUCCCAAUUCUUCCCUCACAAACUUAUACAGGGGGUAUGACCUGCAUUCGUUGAUCCUGUUUGGAACAGCUGGAUUUCCAUUCUCAACUUCAAGUCUAGCACUCUCAACCUCUUUAGGCAAAAGGGUCUUGAGUUCUUCCUCAAAAGAUCCGAUCUUUUGGAAAAUCGAAGUGGUUGAAUUCCUUUCCUUUUCGCCAUUCACCAAGGCAUGCUCGACUAGUACUUGCCUUAGCUUUUGCAUUAAUGGAUAGGUUGCACUACAAGGAUCGUCAAUGUACGCAAAGACAUGUUCUGUGUCAACAAUCUUUAGCAAGUCUUUUUCGCAUAAUCUUGAAGGGUGAAGCUCGCCAUUGAAGCCCAUUGUCAAGACUCUCUUGGCAACUUGGCUCACAGUGUUCUUGACUGUGUUCUUCAGGUUCUCCUCUAUAUGCCUCAAGUCAACGGCCUGGCAUAGACCAACCAAGAAAGUGGUAGACAUGAGCUUCAAUAUGUCAACAGCUUCAGCUGUUUUUCUUGAAGAAAUCAAGCCCAGGGAGUUGACAUCUUGGUUGUGUUGCUCAGCACUCUGAACAUGAUUGGUGACAGGAUUGGCAAGGAAUUGGAGCUCCGAGCAGUAAGAUGCCAUGGCAAUUUCGGCACCUUUGAACCCGUAAUCCAAGCUUGGAUUGCGGCCACCAGUGAGGUUUGAAGGCAAUCCAUUGUUGUAAAAGUCGUUAACAAGUUCAGAGAAUUGUGCGAACAUGAGUUUGCCAAUUGAUGCAAUGGCCAAACGAGUGUUGUCCAUUGAAACACCAAUAGGGGUCCCCUGGAAAUUCCCUCCUUGUAGAGCCUUACUCCUCGACACGUCAAUCAAAGGAUUGUCAUUGACAGAGUUGAUUUCUCGUUCGAUCAUUUUCGUAGAUGUUCUAAUCACUUCGAUCAGAGGGCCUAGCCAUUGUGGAGAUGUUCGAAGAGCAUACCGGUCUUGUUUAGGUUUUUGUAGAGGAUCGAUCUCAUGUAACUUCUGAGCUUCUUUAACAUAGGCGCUGCCAUCUAAAAUAUGUUCCAUGAUGGCGGCAGCUUCAAUUUGGCCAGGAUGAUGCUUCAAUUUAUGUGUCAGGUGAUCAGUAAACUCAGGUUUUCCUUGCAUGACUUCAGCAAAGAUUGCUGACAAAACUUCUGAUAGGAUUGCCAACACAUUAGCCUCAAAAAGCACCAUUGAAGCUAGACCAGAACCCACUGCAGUACCAUUCACUAGUGCUAGACCCUCCUUCGGCUGCAACUUAAAAAAGCCGCCAUCAAUCCCAGCUUGUGUAAAGGCUUCAGCUGGGGUCAGGGGCUCUCCAUUGGGUCCAACUGCCUUUGAAUUAUGCCUGCCUGUCAAGAGCCCAGCAAUGUAGGCCAAUGGAACAAGGUCACCAGAGGCAGUGAUUGUUCCUCUGAGUGGUAAACAUGGGGUGAUGUUGUGGUUGAGCAGCUUGGUGAUGGCUUCCAGCAUCUCAAAUCUUAUGCCUGAAUAACCUUGAAGCAGGGUGUUGGUUCUGACCAACAUAGCUGCCCUGGUUGCUGAGCGAGGCAAUGUAUGGUUGGACUCCGUGCCAUUGCCGAAGAUACCAACAUUCAAGAACCUAGUGAAAUAAAAUCCAAUAAACCAUAUUAGCAACAACCUUAACCGGGAAAAAAAAAACAUUUAGUUGACAAGUUUAUUUGGUAAUAGGAUUUUUAAUUAGUUAUUCUUGCAAAAAGCUCAGCGAAGUGUGGGUGACAAUUUGUAACCAAAAAAUGUGAGUAGCAGCUAGGAUAUUUUCUUGCACUCUUUCUUAAGAUUAGCAAACCAUAAUUAACGAAGUAAAUUACAAGUAAUUAAUGAUGUUUACCGUCCGGGAGCUAGACUUUUCUCUUUGAAUAUUUUUUAUUUGAUGGUUAAAUAACACAAUCGAUCAUUAUUGCUAUAUAUGUCUUGGGAUGUUAAUUUGCCAGUAAUGAUCCAAAAUUCCAAUUAACUGAAAGAACCCUUUGCUUCCAUUGUUUUGAAAGGACCAAAAGAAGACAUUAAUCAUUGUUAAAACGUUUGUUACAUGAUUAGAUCAAUUUGUCUAUGUGAUUAAUUAUCCCCUAUUUAAAGUAACAAAUUAACAAUAUCAUGACAGCAAAAAAAAAAAAAUCCACGUGAUAUAUACAAUAAUGAAAAAGUUACCUUGCUAGCAGUUAAGAUACGAGUGAAGUAAAUUUGGGGACUUGUCAUGAGUUUGAUUACCUUAUAAGCUCCUUUUGAAGCUCUCCGCCUUGCUUGGUUUUUCUAUGUGAGGUUGCACCAAAACCAGCAGUAACAGCAUGACUGUUCUUGCUGUCCAUGACCCAGUCAUUGCUGGCUUUGACACCAGCUCGAGCCUCCUCUGACAGCUCCACCAUGACACCGACGUGACCGCUAGCAAUUGCAGUUACCUGGCCUAUGGUCAGGGUCUCACCUCCUAACUUGACCACAGGCUUCCUGUACUCCUCGAUCAUGCGCUUGACCUCAUCUAG